AGCGAAUCAGACGUGUCUCCCCGCGCUGCGCUUCGCUCUCCUUCCUGCGCCUCAAGUGACCGAAGAGGCGCAAAACCCUCAUCAAGCGCUGGCCCUUCUGUGGGCACUGAAUGGAAUAAAGAACUUUUUCUUUCCUCACAGGCAAUCCUCAAGGCGGAACGCGUGGCUUCGUGGUGGUGAAACCAAACGGUAAAGGAUUCUUGAAGCAGGAAUGAAAGAACAAGUGAGAGCACUAAGGAUUGGUGCACGGAUUUGCAAGAUCAUACGUUAUGAUCCAGUGCAUUUGACCAGCCAACAAUCUACCCCCGAUGGGAGAGACGUCGCUGCACCAAAUGUAGCUGAAGUAUCCGCCUAAAAGGGGACAAGAUGGAUCCAACCCAUAAGCAUCAUUUGACCAUGCAGGCUUAUUGAUCGUCACAGAGGUGAGCAGGAUCAGUUUCCCAUAAAGUUGGUGGCCGCGGUGACAGCAGACAGGACAAGAAGACAGGGCAUAAAGAGUACGUAUCUGGUGACUGGGGAUCGUUUCUUCUAAUAACAUCUGUUCUUACUUAAUCUCUGCUCAGGCUACAAGCUGCCUCAUCUUGCACAAAAGCAUCAGAUCCUUUUUUAGUUGGAGUGUAUCCAAAGACGAUGUGUUUCAUGCACUGCAGUUAUUCCUUUUCUGGCUGUGAAAUGAAAUUUUCUGUUGAGACAAUAAAAUCUGAGUGAAAUCAAAGGCAGAAAGUAAUCUUUUUUUCUCUCUAAAAGUAGUCUCUGUCACACUUAAGCAUCCAGCAGACUACAAGAACUCAUAUUUCACUUUAAAAGGUAAAAAAAAAAAAUAAAAAUAAAAAAAACAAAGUAUGUACAAAUGGUGAACAACGUCGUUAUCCAACAGGACCAUUAGAUCUCAGCCUGCCAUGUGGUUCAUUUUUAUAUCAGCGCUAAACAAAAAUAAUUCCAACCACCCAAUCGGAUGCAGCCUAAGUACUUCAGCAUGGCUGUGCAGAGCGAAGCAGUCAUCUUCUCCAGCGGACGGGAUGCCACGUAAGUGUUUCAGUCUGUCUUCAUAGAAGUCCAGGCCAGCUCCGCUACAGGCUCAGCCAGUACCGGGGGUUCAGUGUAAUGAAAGGCAGACUGAAAAAGGCUCUUGAUUGAUUUCCUACAUCUUGAUUUGAUAUCCUGAAUUAAUUAUUUGAACUUGAAUAAUAUAUAAAGGAAAAAUAAAUGUAGAACACUCAGGGGAAACAAGGAAAGGGCUUCAGUGCUGCUGCCGCCGUCGCUGCUGCGGCUGCUGCACAGAUACUGUAUCUUUUGGUCAAUCUUAUCCCCUGUUGCACUGGAGGGAAGUGUGUGUGGGUACAUGUAACAUGUGGUACAGCCAGCUGUGGUACGUGUGUGUGUGUGUGUGUGUGUAUGUGUGUGUUGCAGUGUCCUUUUUGUCUGUGUGUGCGGCUGGGAAAGAAAAAGG